UGUUAGUUAGCUGUACUUAGCUUCCAUAACAAGGCCCAUUUACCACUCCAGCGUGCAGUUAGCAAGCUAACAAUGGCUACACCCCAAAGAUUCAUCUUCGCUGGAUGCCUCAAUUUACAGAACAGCUCGGUGAUGUUUUUUUUAAGCUUCCAAAAAAUGAGGAAAUAAAAAAGCGAUGGAUUGACUUUUUAAAGACAUGCAGAUGGCGAGCUCGAACACCAACACCACCAGCUGACUCUGCAGUGCGCAGUUUACGACGGAUAGUUUUGUAAACUUUCACCAGACAUCGCUUCAUUGGUAACUUGAUACUAAUGAAUGGACCAGUACUCUCUAACUACCUGGGCUUCCUCCUAUCGUCGCAGUCGUCAGGUGCCGUUGUCGUCUGUGACAUAAUGUCACCAACAAGGACGAGGCCACAAAUCUGACCACCGUCCUUAACUACACACUUCCACAUUGGAACAAAGGACUCCUGACCACAUAACCAGACACAUGAGAUACAUCCCUUAAGCGAUGGCUAUUUGAACACAAACUGUGGAGCAACACGUGAAGACAGACAAUAUAAUACUCACAGGUAUAUGUUGUUUAUCCUUUGUGAAAAAUGACUAAUAUUUUUACAGUUAACUUUGUCCAUUGUGAUACUCUUCUUUGUGUGUGUGUCUGUCUGUCUUAUACUGCCGCCACGUGCCCCAGGUGCACAGAUCAGAAGGAGCAGUGCAAUGUCCAUUGAAUUGAAACAAAAAAAAAUGUGGUAAAAAUUGAACUGAGGCAGAGAUGGCGUAAUGAUGCAAUUACUGCUAAGUCAAGCCUUUCAUGCGAAGAGCAUGAAUA